AGGGGUGUAGCGAAGUGGAUUAACGCGUUGAUUUCCGGAGUCAAAGAUCGUGGGUUCGAUCCCCACCUCCCCUG